UUGAUCCUGCCGGACCCGACUGCUAUCAGAGUGGGACUAAGCCAUGCGAGUCAACGCAGCAAUGCGUGGCAUACGGCUCAGUAACACGUAGUCAACAUGCCCAGGGGACGUGGAUAACCUCGGGAAACUGAGGAUAAACCGCGAUAGGCCAAGGUUUCUGGAAUGGACACUGGCUUAAACCUAUAUGGCCUCUGGAUUGGACUGCGGCCGAUCAGGCUGUUGGUGAGGUAAUGGCCCACCAAACCUGUUACCGGUACGGGCUCUGAGAGGAGGAGCCCGGAGAUGGGCACUGAGACAAGGGCCCAGGCCCUAUGGGGCGCAGCAGGCGCGAAAAUUCUGCAAUAGGCGAAAGCUUGACAGAGUUACUCUGAGUGAUGCCCGCUAAGGGCAUCUUUUGGCACCUCUAAAAAUGGUGCAGAAUAAGGGGUGGGCAAGUCUGGUGUCAGCCGCCGCGGUAAUACCAGCACCCCGAGUGGUCGGGACGAUUAUUGGGCCUAAAGCAUCCGUAGCUUGUUCUGCAAGUCUUCCGUUAAAUCCACCUGCUCAACAGAUGGGCUGCGGGAGAUACUACAGGGCUAGGAGGCGGGAGAGGCAAGCGGUACUCAGUGGGUAGGGGUAAAAUCCUCUGAUCCACUGAAGACCACCAGUGGCGAAGGCGGCUUGCCAGAACGCGCUCGACGGUGAGGGAUGAAAGCUGGGGGAGCAAACCGGAUUAGAUACC
rnacentral:rRNA from 1 species